ACGCACGCUGGCGGCGUGCUUAACACAUGCAAGUCGAACGGAAAGGCCCUGCUUUUGUGGGGUGCUCGAGUGGCGAACGGGUGAGUAACACGUGAGUAACCUGCCCUUGACUUUGGGAUAACUUCAGGAAACUGGGGCUAAUACUGGAUAGGAGCUCCUGCUGCAUGGUGGGGGUUGGAAAGUUUCGGCGGUUGGGGAUGGACUGGCGGCUUAUCAGUUUGUUGGUGGGGUAGUGGCUUACCAAGGCUUUGACGGGUAGCCGGCCUGAGAGGGUGACCGGCCACAUUAGGACUGAGAUACGGCCCAGACUCCAACGGGAGGCAGCAGUGGGGAAUAUUGCACAAUGGGCGGAAGCCUGAUGCAGCAACGCCGCGUGCGGGAUGACGGCCUUCGGGUUGUAAACCGCUUUCGCCUUUGACGAAGCGUGAGUGACGGUAAUGGGUAAAGAAGCACCGGCUAACUACGUG
rnacentral:rRNA from 1 species